rnacentral:rRNA from 1 species
CCUACGGGAGGCAGCAGUGGGGAAUAUUGGACAAUGGGCGAAAGCCUGAUCCAGCCAUGCCGCGGGUGUGAAGAAGGCCUUCGGGUUGUAAAGCACUUUCAGUGGGGAAGAAAGCCUUGGGGCUAAUACCCUCGAGGAAGGACAUCACCCACAGAAGAAGCACCGGCUAACUCCGUGCCAGCAGCCGCGGUAAUACGGAGGGUGCGAGCGUUAAUCGGAAUUACUGGGCGUAAAGCGCGCGUAGGCGGUCUGAUAAGCCGGUUGUGAAAGCCCCGGGCUCAACCUGGGAACGGCAUCCGGAACUGUCAGGCUAGAGUGCAGGAGAGGAAGGUAGAAUUCCCGGUGUAGCGGUGAAAUGCGUAGAGAUCGGGAGGAAUACCAGUGGCGAAGGCGGCCUUCUGGACUGACACUGACGCUGAGGUGCGAAAGCGUGGGUAGCAAACAGGAUUAGAUACCCGUGUAGUC